UCGACCUUGUUAAAAGCCAUUUUUCUUUCUUUUUUUUUUUUUAAAGUUUUAUUUAUUAUUAUAUGUAAGUACACUGUAGCUGUCUUCAGACACACCAGAAGAGGGAGUCAGAUCUUGUUAGGGAUGGUUGUGAGCCACCAUGUGUUGCUGGGAUUUGAACUCUGGACCUUCAGAAGAGCAGUCGGGUGCUCUUACCCACUGAGCCAUCUCACCAGCCCCGCCAUUUUUCUUACUAGGAAGAUAGUCCCAAUUAUUUUUUCUAGCAUGAGACUAGUUUUCAAAUCAGUAUUGCACAAUUUGAAACUUACCAUAUGGAUAUUAAUAGCAAAUAGGUCACAAUAUAAACAUUACUCUAUUCUCAGUUUUUUUGUUUGUUUGUUUGUUUUUGUUUUUUCGAGACAGGGUUUCUCUGUGUAGCCCUGGCUGUCCUGGAACUCACACUGUAGACCAGGCUGGCCUCGAACUCAGAAAUCCACCUGCCUCUGCCUCCCAGGUGCUGGGAUUAAAGGCAUGCGCCACCACUUCCAGCAAAAGAAGACUUUUUAAAACAACAUUUUAAAGUCAUAAUCACAGGCAGUCCUGUGUACGCAAACGUUAAAGCAUGAAAGCUGUUUGGUAAUUUUUCCCCCCCCCCAGAGCUGAGGACCGAACCCAGGGCCUUGUGCUUGCUAGGCAAGCGCUCUACCACUGGGCUAAAUCCCCAACCCCUGUUUGGUAAUUCAUAGUGUUCUUUUCUGUUCAGUAUUUUGUGCUCCCUCUCCCCUCAGAUUUUUUGAGGUAGGACCUGUCCAUUAUUUGCCCAGGUUAGCCUUGAACUUAUAGUUCUCCUGCCUUGGCCUCCUCAGUGCUGGGAUUUCAGUUGUGUACCACUACACUGUAGUUUCUUGUUGGAGAGGAAGCUAGGAUGCAGGUGUGUGCAGUCAAGCUGGAACUGCAGAGUAUGUUCUUCUCAAGGGCUUCGCAUUCCAUGUAGUGAGAAGAUUAUAGUUUUGCUUUCUAGCCUUUUGGUGCUUAAGAACAUUUCACAGGCUGGGUGUGGUGGCGCUUGCCUUUAACCAAACACUCAGGAGGCAGAGGCAGGAAGAUCGCUGAGUUUGAGCCAACCUGGUCUACAUAGUAAGAUCUUGGAAAGCCAGAACUACAUAGAGAGACUAGGUCUCCAAAGAAAAGAGUGUAUGAAUGUACAUCUUAUCAAGUACAAUCUAACUAAUCUUAUUUAACCUUACAAAAUAAUUUUGAAUCAUUGGUGCCUUAGCUAUAGAAAUAAUUUUGUUAGUCUUCCCCACCCCUCUGCAAGUCAGGUUCUUACUCUAUAGCCUAGGCUGGCUGGAAACUCAUUAUAUAACCUACACUAGCCUCAAACUAGGACCACUCCCUCUGGCAAGAGAAAUUAGAUCUUUCUCAUUUUAUAUUUUUAUUAUAUUUAUUUAUUUAUUCAUGUGGUAAGUGUUGCUUUUGAACACUACAACCUUUGUGUGGCGAUCAAAGAACAAUUUGUAGUUGUUUCUUCUGGCAUGUGGAAACCUGGGAUCAAACUCAGGCCCUCAGACUUAGAGGCAAAUGUGUGGUGGUUCUCUCCCCCUCCCCUCAACAUCUCUCAAUACCUGUCUAGAAUUUUUAUCCAGUUGGCUUCUUUUUGUUUGUUUGUUUGUUUUUGUUUUUUUCGAGACAGGGUUUCUCUGAGUAGCCCUGGCUGUCCUGGAACUUACUCUGUAGACCAGGCUGGCCUCGAACUCAGAAAUCCUCCUGCCUCUGCCUCCCAAGUGCUGGGAUCAAAGGCGCCCAGCCCAGUUGGCUUCUUAAGCAAAAUAAUUUUGCUGACUAUUAUUGGUGCUAGCUGGUGUUCUGUGACACUGGGAAAAAUCCCAUGGAAAAGUACAGCUCUGUGUGUGUGUGUGUGUGUGUGUGUGUGUGUGUGUGUGUGUGUGUGUAUGUGUGUAUGUGUGUAAGUUACAGAAACAAAAAGAGGAAGGAUGUUAGGAAAUAUGAAAAUAUAGGGGGAAAUGUUCCAUUGACCUCAUUUUUUUAAAAAGUUAAGUUUACUGCUCAGAAAGUUUGAGGAAUUCUACUUAAUGAGAAAUUAGUUCUAGUAAAUUUUCACAAAGAAAAUUGGCCAUUUCCCUUUUUCAGUUUUUUUUUGGGGGGGUGCAUUUAGAAUACAUUAAACUUUUCAGUGUAUUUUUUAGCUAGUGAAAAAUCUAUCUGGCUUAAAGGAACUUAAUGGCCACAGUCAGUUUGGUGUCUCCUACAGACAAAGCCUUAGAUUAUCGAAACAACAUAAAUGGACCUUGAGAUUUGUUGGAUUUGUUUUUGUUAUUUUACCAUUAACUAACUGCUCCAAAAAUGCCAUGAACUAGUUUAUGUCUUAUUUCAAGAUAUGUCUCAUAUCAGUAGUAGCUGAAAAAACUCUAAUCUUAUUUUUGUUUGUUUGUUUGUUUGGCUUUUGCUUUUGUUCUUAAAUUUUAUUUAACUUUAUUCUGAGGCAAAGUCUCACUAUGUAGCUCUGGCUGUCCUGGAAUUCACUAUGUAGACUAGGGUGGUCUGGAAAUCAGAGAAAGAUCCACCUUCCUCUGACUCCUAAGGCAUGGGAUUAAAGGCAUGCUCCACUAUGCCCAGCCAAAAUUCCCUAAUUUGGACAGUAGUGUGGAAUUGGAGGAGCUUUGGUUAGGUGAAGCAGUUGUUGUUUGCGCCGCUUGCUGGGGUGGCCUUACCAGGAUUAUUUGGAAGCCUGGAUCACAUUCUGUGGUAAGUGCAGCACCCUGGCUGAGUCCCAUGUUGGCAUGCUUACCCUGUUUUCAUUGUGUGUCUUCAGUUUCUUCAGUACAUGCCUCUCUCAGAUACUGUUUUGGAGAAAGGAAAGCAUCUCUGUCUCCCCUUCAUCCUUGUACUAAUCUAAUCAGCUCAUUUUGUUACUAUUUCAGGAAUAAUCUCUUUUGCCCUUUUCUCUUUUAUUAAGUCUUCUUACAUGGGAAGAUUUAGACACUUAUCCUGUCUCAACAAGAUUAGAUACCAUAGGAGAGAGGCGUUUCCUUUCUCCACAUGCUGUCUAUGAUAUUGUUUAUGCUCUUGUGUGCUUUGUCAGUCUUAUUACCAUUUAGAAGUUGAAAUCUUUCAGGGGUAGCAAUGGCCAAGUCCUCCUCCAUCAUUUGUAUUGUGCUUUUCCAAUAGUACAUGUGUGUGGGGUGCUGUAACUGGCUUUGAACUUACUAUGUGGGUAAACCUUGUACUACCCCUAGAGUACCUGCAUGCUAGACAAGCACUCUUACUUAAUUGAGCUGCAUCACUAGCCUGAGCCCCUGGUGUUAGUAAGACAUUUAACUAGGGGAAACAGAUUUCUGCUUCUUGUCAUAUUCAGGAAUGGUGCUUGUUAUUUAAGAAUGCAUUACUAAUGCCCAGCUGUGAUGGCACAUGCCUUUAAUCCCAGCACUUGGGAAACAGCACUUAGGCAGAUCUCUUGAGUAAUGAGGCCAGCCUGGUCUACAGAGUGAGUUAUAGGACAGUCAAGGCUACACAGAGAAACCUGUU
rnacentral:lncRNA from 1 species